AAAUGAUGAAACUGGAAGCAUGCACAUGAUAUGGAACAAGCUCAAAGAUUUGAAAUGGGAGUUGAAAGAACUGAAUAUUUAUAUGGCAUCCUGUAGAACCCAUCUCAAUGCAGCAAGACAUAAACUAGAAACCAUUCAGUUUGAAUUGAGAAGAAACAACCUGGACCAGCAGUUGAUAGAUCAGGAAAAGAAAACCUUAUCAGAAGUACAGAAAUGGNN
rnacentral:lncRNA from 1 species